CUGUGCUCGCAAGAGAACCGGAACACAGGUGCUGCAUGGCUGUCGUCAGCUCGUGUCGUGAGAUGUUGGGUUAAGUCCCGCAACGAGCGCAACCCUUGUCAUUAGUUGCUACGAAAGGGCGACUCUAAUGAGACUGCCGGUGACAAACCGGAGGGAAGGUGGGGAUGACGUCAAGUCCUCAUGGCCCUUAUGGGUAGGGCUUCACACGUCAUACAAUGGUCGGGACAGAGGGUCGCCAACCCGCGAGGGGGGAGCCAAUCCCAGAAACCCGAUCGUAGUCCGGAUUGCAGGCUGCAACUCGCCUGCAUGAAGUCGGAAUCGCUAGUAAUCGUGGAUCAGCAUGUCACGGUGAAUACGUUCCCGGGUCUU
rnacentral:rRNA from 2 species